UGAUCUAAAACUGCAUCUUAUGUGAUCUAGAACUGCAUCUUAAUUUGUGUUCUGUUUGGAAACGGAACAGACCUUAAGAUCAGGAACCCAGUGGAUCCCCUUGUGUAUGGUCUGAGUGUUGCAGUGGGACUGUGUGUAAUUAUAAUCAGUAUACUAAUCUACAUCAACUCCAAGAAAACUAUGUCAUCACUCAACAGGCGCUCCUGAGCCUUGUGGAGACCAGAAUAUAAAUGUGGACGUGAUGAAUUAUGCA